GGGGAUUUAGCUCAGUGGCAUAAGCACCUGCCUUGUAAGCAGGCAAUCAUGAGUUCGAUCCCCG
rnacentral:tRNA from 1 species